UAGGGAAUAUUGGACAAUGGGGGCAACCCUGAUCCAGCCAUGCCGCGUGAGUGAAGAAGGCCCUCGGGUUGUAAAGCUCUUUUGUCCGGAAAGAAAAGCUUCGGGUUAAUACCCCGGGGUUCUGACGGUACCGGAAGAAUAAGCACCGGCUAACUUCGUGCCAGCAGCCGCGGUAAUACGAAGGGUGCAAGCGUUACUCGGAAUUACUGGGCGUAAAGCGUGCGUAGGUGGUUGUAUAAGUCUGAUGUGAAAGCCCUGGGAUCAACCUGGGAAUGGCAUUGGAAACUGGGCAGCUAGAGUGCGGUAGAGGGUAGUGGAAUUCCAGGUGUAGCAGUGAAAUGCGUAGAGAUCGGGAGGAACAUCUGUGGCGAAGGCGACUGCCUGGACCAGCACUGACACUGAGGCACGAAAGCGUGGGGAGCAAACA
rnacentral:rRNA from 1 species